rnacentral:tRNA from 1 species
CAUAGUCUAAUGGUAUGACUUCAACUUACGGCGUUGAAAAUCUGGGUUCGAUUCCCAG